rnacentral:rRNA from 1 species
UGGGAAUUUUGGACAAUGGGGGCAACCCUGAUCCAGCAAUGCCGCGUGUGUGAAGAAGGCCUUCGGGUUGUAAAGCACUUUUGUCCGGAAAGAAAUCGCCCUGGCUAAUAUCCGGGGUGGAUGACGGUACUGGAAGAAUAAGCACCGGCUAACUACGUGCCAGCAGCCGCGGUAAUACGUAGGGUGCAAGCGUUAAUCGGAAUUACUGGGCGUAAAGCGUGCGCAGGCGGUUGUGCAAGACAGAUGUGAAAUCCCCGGGCUUAACCUGGGAAUGGCAUUUGUGACUGCACGGCUAGAGUGUGUCAGAGGGGGGUAGAAUUCCACGUNUAGCAGUGAAAUGCGUAGAUAUGUGGAGGAACACCGAUGGCGAAGGCAGCCCCCUGGGAUAACACUGACGCUCAUGCACGAAAGCGUGGGGAGCAAAC